UACAGAGGUCUCGAGCGUUGUUCGGAUUCAUUGGGCGUAAAGGGCGCGUAGGCGGCGGGGUAAGUCUGGUGUGAAAUCUCGGAGCUCAACUCCGAAAUUGCACUGGAUACUGCUCUGCUAGAGGGCUGGAGAGGAGAUCGGAAUUCACGGUGUAGCAGUGAAAUGCGUAGAUAUCGUGAGGAAGACCAGUGGCGAAGGCGGAUCUCUGGACAGCUCCUGACGCUGAGGCGCGAAGGCUAGGGGAGCAAACGGG
rnacentral:rRNA from 1 species